rnacentral:rRNA from 1 species
UACGGAGGGUGCGAACGUUAAUCGGAAUCACUGGGCGUAAAGCGCGCGUAGGCGGUCUGUUAAGUGGGAUGUGAAAUCCCCGGGCUUAACCUGGGAAUUGCAUUUCAAACUGGCCGACUAGAGUACGGUAGAGGGAGGUAGAAUUUCCUGUGUAGCGGUGAAAUGCGUAGAUAUAGGAAGGAAUACCAGUGGCGAAGGCGGCGUUCUGGACUGCAACUGACACUGAGAAACGAAAGCCAGGGUAGCAAACGGG